AGGGAWUUYCCCCUAGUACGGCGAGUGAAGCGGGAAGAGCUCAAAUUUAAAAUCUGGCAGGCUACGCUUGUCCGAAUUGUAAUCUCGAGAAGUGUUUUCCGCGUUGGCCUGUGUACAAGUCCCUUGGAACAGGGCGUCAUAGAGGGUGAGAAUCCCGUCCUUGACACAGACACCCAAUGCUUUGUGAUACACUCUCAAUGAGUCGAGUUGUUUGGGAAUGCAGCUCAAAAUGGGUGGUAAAUUCCAUCUAAAGCUAAAUACUGGCGAGAGACCGAUAGCGAACAAGUACCGUGAGGGAAAGAUGAAAAGCACUUUGGAAAGAGAGUCAAACAGUACGUGAAAUUGUUGAAAGGGAAACGAUUGAAGUCAGUCGUGCCUGCCUAGUCUCAGCCUUUUGGUGUACUACUAGGUCGGCAGGUCAGCAUCAGUUUGGGAGGAUUAACAAGGGAGUUAGGAAUGUGGCAACCUCGGUUGUGUUAUAGCCUAGCUUCGCAUUGAUCUUGCUGGACUGAGGAACGCAGUGCGCCCGCAAGGGUUGGUCUUCGGACACAUUCGCACUUAGGAUGCUGGCAUAAUGGCUUUAAACGACCCGUCUUGAMMMCGGAACC
rnacentral:rRNA from 1 species